rnacentral:rRNA from 1 species
GAUGAACGCUGGCGGCGUGCCUAAUACAUGCAAGUCGAGCGAACGGACGAUAAGCUUGCUUCUCUGAUGUUAGCGGCUGACGUGUGAGUAACACGUGUAUAACCUACCUAUAAGUCUGGUAUAACUUCGGGAAACCGGAUCUAAUACCGUAUAAUAUUUUGAACCGCAUGGUUCAAAAGUGAAAGACGGUCUUGCUGUCACUUAUAGAUGGAUCCGCGCUGCAUUAGCUAGUUGGUAAGGUAACGGCUUACCAAGGCAACGAUGCAUAGCCGACGUGAGAGGGUGAUCGGCCACACUGGAACUGAGACACGGUCCAGACUCCUACGGGAGGCAGCAGUAGGGAAUCGUCCGCAAUGGGCGAAAGCCUGACGGAGCAACGCCGCGUGAGUGAUGAAGGUCUUCGGAUCGUAAAACUCUGUUAUUAGGGAAGAACAUAUGUGUAAGAAAAUGUGCACAUCAUGACGGUACCUAAUCAGAAAGCCACGGCUAACUACGUG